rnacentral:rRNA from 1 species
GCACCUACGGAGGCAGCAGUGGGGAAUAUUGGGCAAUGGGCGCAAGCCUGACCCAGCAACGCCGCGUGAAGGAAGAAGGCUUUCGGGUUGUAAACUUCUUUUGUCAGGGACGAAGCAAGUGACGGUACCUGACGAAUAAGCCACGGCUAACUACGUGCCAGCAGCCGCGGUAAUACGUAGGUGGCAAGCGUUGUCCGGAUUUACUGGGUGUAAAGGGUGCGUAGGCGGGGAAGCAAGUCAGAAGUGAAAUCCAUGGGCUUAACCCAUGAACUGCUUUUGAAACUGUUUAUCUUGAGUGAAGUAGG